rfam:TPA: Bos taurus chromosome 8, whole genome shotgun sequence.
UCCCUGGGAGUCUAGUGGUUAGGACUCUGUGCUUCCACUGCAGGGGGCUCAGGUUCAAUCCCUGUUUGGGGAA